rnacentral:rRNA from 1 species
CGGGGUGCCCAGGCGCGAAAACUUUACAAUGCUGGCAACAGCGAUAAGGGGACCUUGAGUGCCAGGAUACAAUCCUGGCUGUCGUGAUGCCUAAAAAGCAUUAUAUAGCAAGGGCCGGGCAAGACCGGUGCCAGCCGCCGCGGUAACACCGGCGGCUCGAGUGGUAACCGCUAUUAUUGGGUCUAAAGGGUCUGUAGCCGGCUUGGUUAGUCUCUUGGGAAAUCCGGCAGCUUAACUGUCGGGCUUUCAGGAGAUACUGCCAGGCUCGAGACCGGGAGAGGUGAGAGGUACUUCAUGGGUAGGGGUGAAAUCUUGUAAUCCUUGAAGGACCACCAGUGGCGAAGGCGUCUCACCAGAACGGAUCUGACGGCAAGGGACGAAAGCUAGGGGCACGAACCGGAUUAGAUACCCGGGUAGUCCUAGCCGUAAACGAUACUCGCUAGGUGUCGGCCACGGUGCGACCGUGGUCGGUGCCGUAGGGAAGCCGUGAAGCGAGCCACCUGGGAAGUACGGCCGCAAGGCUGAAACUUAAAGGAAUUGGCGGGGGAGCAC